UUAAGCGACUAAGCGUACACGGUGGAUGCCCUGGCAGUCAGAGGCGAUGAAGGACGUGCUAAUCUGCGAUAAGCGUCGGUAAGGUGAUAUGAACCGUUAUAACCGGCGAUUUCCGAAUGGGGAAACCCAGUGUGAUUCGUCACACUAUCAUUAACUGAAUCCAUAGGUUAAUGAGGCGAACCGGGGGAACUGAAACAUCUAAGUACCCCGAGGAAAAGAAAUCAACCGAGAUUCCCCCAGUAGCGGCGAGCGAACGGGGAGGAGCCCAGAGCCUGAAUCAGUGUGUGUGUUAGUGGAAGCGUCUGGAAAGGCGCGCGAUACAGGGUGACAGCCCCGUACACAAAAAUGCACAUACUGUGAGCUCGAUGAGUAGGGCGGGACACGUGGUAUCCUGUCUGAAUAUGGGGGGACCAUCCUCCAAGGCUAAAUACUCCUGACUGACCGAUAGUGAACCAGUACCGUGAGGGAAAGGCGAAAAGAACCCCGGCGAGGGGAGUGAAAAAGAACCUGAAACCGUGUACGUACAAGCAGUGGGAGCCUCUUAAUGGGGUGACUGCGUACCUUUUGUAUAAUGGGUCAGCGACUUAUAUUCUGUAGCAAGGUUAACCGAAUAGGGGAGCCGAAGGGAAACCGAGUCUUAACUGGGCGUUAAGUUGCAGGGUAUAGACCCGAAACCCGGUGAUCUAGCCAUGGGCAGGUUGAAGGUUGGGUAACACUAACUGGAGGACCGAACCGACUAAUGUUGAAAAAUUAGCGGAUGACUUGUGGCUGGGGGUGAAAGGCCAAUCAAACCGGGAGAUAGCUGGUUCUCCCCGAAAGCUAUUUAGGUAGCGCCUCGUGAAUUCAUCUCCGGGGGUAGAGCACUGUUUCGGCAAGGGGGUCAUCCCGACUUACCAACCCGAUGCAAACUGCGAAUACCGGAGAAUGUUAUCACGGGAGACACACGGCGGGUGCUAACGUCCGUCGUGAAGAGGGAAACAACCCAGACCGCCAGCUAAGGUCCCAAAGUCAUGGUUAAGUGGGAAACGAUGUGGGAAGGCCCAGACAGCCAGGAUGUUGGCUUAGAAGCAGCCAUCAUUUAAAGAAAGCGUAAUAGCUCACUGGUCGAGUCGGCCUGCGCGGAAGAUGUAACGGGGCUAAACCAUGCACCGAAGCUGCGGCAGCGACGCUUAUGCGUUGUUGGGUAGGGGAGCGUUCUGUAAGCCUGUGAAGGUGGCCUGUGAGGGUUGCUGGAGGUAUCAGAAGUGCGAAUGCUGACAUAAGUAACGAUAAAGCGGGUGAAAAGCCCGCUCGCCGGAAGACCAAGGGUUCCUGUCCAACGUUAAUCGGGGCAGGGUGAGUCGACCCCUAAGGCGAGGCCGAAAGGCGUAGUCGAUGGGAAACAGGUUAAUAUUCCUGUACUUGGUGUUACUGCGAAGGGGGGACGGAGAAGGCUAUGUUGGCCGGGCGACGGUUGUCCCGGUUUAAGCGUGUAGGCUGGUUUUCCAGGCAAAUCCGGAAAAUCAAGGCUGAGGCGUGAUGACGAGGCACUACGGUGCUGAAGCGACAAAUGCCCUGCUUCCAGGAAAAGCCUCUAAGCAUCAGGUAACAUUAAAUCGUACCCCAAACCGACACAGGUGGUCAGGUAGAGAAUACCAAGGCGCUUGAGAGAACUCGGGUGAAGGAACUAGGCAAAAUGGUGCCGUAACUUCGGGAGAAGGCACGCUGAUAUGUAGGUGAAGCGACUUGCUCGUGGAGCUGAAAUCAGUCGAAGAUACCAGCUGGCUGCAACUGUUUAUUAAAAACACAGCACUGUGCAAACACGAAAGUGGACGUAUACGGUGUGACGCCUGCCCGGUGCCGGAAGGUUAAUUGAUGGGGUUAGCGGUAACGCGAAGCUCUUGAUCGAAGCCCCGGUAAACGGCGGCCGUAACUAUAACGGUCCUAAGGUAGCGAAAUUCCUUGUCGGGUAAGUUCCGACCUGCACGAAUGGCGUAAUGAUGGCCAGGCUGUCUCCACCCGAGACUCAGUGAAAUUGAACUCGCUGUGAAGAUGCAGUGUACCCGCGGCAAGACGGAAAGACCCCGUGAACCUUUACUAUAGCUUGACACUGAACAUUGAGCCUUGAUGUGUAGGAUAGGUGGGAGGCUUUGAAGUGUGGACGCCAGUCUGCAUGGAGCCGACCUUGAAAUACCACCCUUUAAUGUUUGAUGUUCUAACGUGGGCCCCUUACCGGGGUUGCGGACAGUGUCUGGUGGGUAGUUUGACUGGGGCGGUCUCCUCCUAAAGAGUAACGGAGGAGCACGAAGGUUGGCUAAUCCUGGUCGGACAUCAGGAGGUUAGUGCAAUGGCAUAAGCCAGCUUGACUGCGAGCGUGACGGCGCGAGCAGGUGCGAAAGCAGGUCAUAGUGAUCCGGUGGUUCUGAAUGGAAGGGCCAUCGCUCAACGGAUAAAAGGUACUCCGGGGAUAACAGGCUGAUACCGCCCAAGAGUUCAUAUCGACGGCGGUGUUUGGCACCUCGAUGUCGGCUCAUCACAUCCUGGGGCUGAAGUAGGUCCCAAGGGUAUGGCUGUUCGCCAUUUAAAGUGGUACGCGAGCUGGGUUUAGAACGUCGUGAGACAGUUCGGUCCCUAUCUGCCGUGGGCGCUGGAGAACUGAGGGGGGCUGCUCCUAGUACGAGAGGACCGGAGUGGACGCAUCACUGGUGUUCGGGUUGUCAUGCCAAUGGCACUGCCCGGUAGCUAAAUGCGGAAGAGAUAAGUGCUGAAAGCAUCUAAGCACGAAACUUGCCCCGAGAUGAGUUCUCCCUGACUCCUUGAGAGUCCUGAAGGAACGUUGAAGACGACGACGUUGAUAGGCCGGGUGUGUAAGCGCAGCGAUGCGUUGAGCUAACCGGUACUAAUGAACCGUGAGGCUUAACCUU
rnacentral:rRNA from 3 species